AUAUUCUAGUUUCUCUUCAUCUCGUAUAAAUCUUUCGCCUUUUACUAAAGAUUUCCGUGGAGAGGAACAUCAAGAAUAUUAUCUAAAUUGUUGAUGCCCUGCUGAGAGGGGGGGU